GCCUGUGUGUUUAUAAAUCCUGUGUGUUUAUAAAGCUAUAUAAUAUAUAUAACUAUGCCUGUGUGUGAUGUCUACAGCUGACUCUGGUAUAGUCUGUGUUACAGGCAUAUUUAAGCUUCAACAUGUGGUUUGGUGUGUUUGUGAGUUAUACAGGUGGUGUGUGUGUGUGAGUUAUACAGGUGGUUUGGUGUGUUUGUGAGUUAUACAGGUGGUUUGGUGUGUUUGUGAGUUAUACAGGUGGUUUGGUGUGUUUGUGAGUUAUACAGGUGGUUUGGUGUGUGUGUGUGAGUUAUACAGGUGGUUUGGUGUGUGUGUGAGUUAUACAGGUGGUUUGGUGUGUGUGUGAGUUAUACAGGUGGUUUGGUGUGUGUGUGUGUGUGAGUUAUACAGGUGUUGUUUCAGGACCACUUUAGUAGAUUUUCUGUCCCUGUAUUGUACUCAUAAGGUGAAUGCACCAAUUUGUAAGUCGCUCUGGAUAAGAGCGUCUGCUAAAUGACUUAAAUGUAAAUGAGUUGUGAUGUAGUUUUCCCACUGCUUGGUGAAUUGUCUCUGUCUUUCUUCAUUUCCUGUCUCUCUCUUCUUCUCUUCUCUCUCGGGGU